UACGUAGGGGGCGAGCGUUUGUCCGGAGUUAUUGGGCGUAAAGGGCAUGCAGGCGGUCGGACGCGUUUCGGGUGACAGCGGGUGGCUUAACUACCCGAGUGGUCGAAAGACGGUUUGACUUGAGGACGCGAGAGGGACACGGAAUUCCGGGUGGAGUGGUGAAAUGCGUAGAGAUCCGGAGGAACACCGAAGGCGAAGGCAGUGUCCUGGCGCGUAACUGACGCUGAGGUGCGAAAGCCAGGGGAGCGAACGGG
rnacentral:rRNA from 1 species